rnacentral:rRNA from 1 species
CGGCGGUACGACGGGCCAGAGGCCGGCUGAAUAUGGAUGGUGCACGAGUGAUACUGAGGUUCGGUGCAUAAAGUGAGGUUAGGCGGUGAUUUAAGGAUACCGUGAAAGCCCCUGGCUCAAACUGGGAAUGGGGGUGGAUGCUGGAGAGCUAGAGUGUGUCAGGGGAUGGUGUAAUUCCCGGUGAAGCGGUGAAAUGCGUAGAUAUCGGGAUGAACAUCAGUGGCGAAGGCGGUCAUCUGGGACAACACUGACGCUGAAGCACGAAAGCGUGGGGAGCAAACAGGAUUAGAUACCCCGAGUC